GUCGAACGCUUCUUUUUCCACCGGAGCUUGCUCCACCGGAAAAAGAGGAGUGGCGAACGGGUGAGUAACACGUGGGUAACCUGCCCAUCAGAAGGGGAUAACACUUGGAAACAGGUGCUAAUACCGUAUAACAAUCAAAACCGCAUGGUUUUGAUUUGAAAGGCGCUUUCGGGUGUCGCUGAUGGAUGGACCCGCGGUGCAUUAGCUAGUUGGUGAGGUAACGGCUCACCAAGGCCACGAUGCAUAGCCGACCUGAGAGGGUGAUCGGCCACAUUGGGACUGAGACACGGCCCAAACUCCUACGGGAGGCAGCAGUAGGGAAUCUUCGGCAAUGGACGAAAGUCUGACCGAGCAACGCCGCGUGAGUGAAGAAGGUUUUCGGAUCGUAAAACUCUGUUGUUAGAGAAGAACAAGGAUGAGAGUAACUGUUCAUCCCUUGACGGUAUCUAACCAGAAAGCCACGGCUAACUACGUGCCAGCAGCCGCGGUAAUACGUAGGUGGCAAGCGUUGUCCGGAUUUAUUGGGCGUAAAGCGAGCGCAGGCGGUUUCUUAAGUCUGAUGUGAAAGCCCCCGGCUCAACCGGGGAGGGUCAUUGGAAACUGGGAGACUUGAGUGCAGAAGAGGAGAGUGGAAUUCCAUGUGUAGCGGUGAAAUGCGUAGAUAUAUGGAGGAACACCAGUGGCGAAGGCGGCUCUCUGGUCUGUAACUGACGCUGAGGCUCGAAAGCGUGGGGAGCAAACAGGAUUAGAUACCCUGGUAGUCCACGCCGUAAACGAUGAGUGCUAAGUGUUGGAGGGUUUCCGCCCUUCAG
rnacentral:rRNA from 1 species